UACGUAGGGUGCAAGCGUCAAUCGGAAUUACUGGGCGUAAAGCGUGCGCAGGCGGUUUUGUAAGUCUGUCGUGAAAGCCCCGGGCUCAACCUGGGAAUUGCGAUGGAGACUGCAAGGCUUGAAUCUGGCAGAGGGGGGUAGAAUUCCACGUGUAGCAGUGAAAUGCGUAGAGAUGUGGAGGAACACCGAUGGCGAAGGCAGCCCCCUGGGUCAAGAUUGACGCUCAUGCACGAAAGCGUGGGGAGCGAACAGG
rnacentral:rRNA from 1 species